CCUGGUGCCUAUAGCGAGGUUGCCACACCCGAUCCCAUCCCGAACUCGGCCGUGAAACACCUCCGCGCCUAUGGUACUGCGUCUUAAGACGCGGGAGAGUCGGUCGGCGCCAGGC
rfam:Roseomonas rosea strain DSM 14916 genome assembly, contig: EJ99DRAFT_scaffold00027.27